rnacentral:rRNA from 1 species
GAUGAACGCUGGCGGCGUGCCUAAUACAUGCAAGUCGAGCGAACAGACGAGUAGCUUGCUCCUCUGACGUUAGCGGCGGACGGGUGAGUAACACGUGGAUAACCUACCUAUAAGACUGGGAUAACUUCGUGAAACCGGAGCUAAUACCGGAUAAUAUAUUGAACCGCAUGGUUCAAUAGUUAAAGACGGUUUUGCUGUCACUUAUAGAUGUAUCCGCGCCGCAUUAGCUAGUUGGUAAGGUAACGGCUUACCAAGGCAACGAUGCGUAGCCGACCUGAGAGGGUGAUCGGCCACACUGGAACUGAGACACGGUCCAGACUCCUACGGGAGGCAGCAGUAGGGAAUCUUCCGAAAUGGGCGAAAGCCUGAAGGAGCAACGCCGCGUGAGUGAUGAAGGUCUUCGGAUCGUAAAACUCUGUUAUUAGGGAAGAACAAAUGUGUAAGUAACUAUGCACGUCUUGACGGUACCUAAUCAGAAAGCAACGGCUAACUACGUG